rnacentral:rRNA from 1 species
UACGGAGGGUGCGAGCGUUAAUCGGAAUUACUGGGCGUAAAGCGCACGCAGGCGGUUUGUUAAGCUAGAUGUGAAAGCCCCGGGCUCAACCUGGGAUGGUCAUUUAGAACUGGCAGACUAGAGCCUUGGAGAGGGGAGUGGAAUUCCAGGUGUAGCGGUGAAAUGCGUAGAUAUCUGGAGGAACAUCAGUGGCGAAGGCGACUCCCUGGCCAAAGACUGACGCUCAUGUGCGAAAGUGUGGGUAGCGAACAGC